CGUUUUCCUAGUCUCCCCCAGAAGAGGCCUGGCGCCUGUGACUCGGCUCUUAGGGCUGUUGCUGGGCCUGCUGUAGACCUGGACAGAGGCCUGUCGGAGUUCGCAGUGGCCCAGCGUAGGCUGGUCCACGGCUGGAAUGAGUUUGUCACUGAUAACACUGAGCCGGUGUGGAAGAAAUACCUGGAUCAGUUCAGCAGCCCCCUGAUCCUGCUGCUGCUGGGCUCUGCCGUGGUGAGCGUCCUCACCAAAGAGUACGAAGAUGCCAUCAGCAUCGCACUGGCCGUGCUCAUCGUGGUGACUGUCGGCUUCAUCCAGGAAUACAGGUCGGAGAAGUCUCUGGAAGAGCUGACCAAGCUGGUGCCUCCAGAGUGCAACUGCCUGAGGGAAGGCAAGCUGCAGCACCUGCUCGCACGAGACCUGGUCCCAGGAGACAUCGUCUCCCUGUCCACGGGAGACCGGAUCCCCGCUGACAUCCGUCUCAUUGAGGUCACAGACCUCCUGGUGGAUGAAUCCAGUUUCACCGGAGAAGUGGAGCCAUGCAGCAAAACUGACAGCGCAUUGCCAGGCGGUGGGGGCCUCGGCACCCUGAGCAACGUGGUCUUCAUGGGGACACUGGUGCAGUGUGGCAAGGGUCAGGGAGUUGUGAUCGGAACCGGGGAGCAGUCUCAGUUCGGAGAAGUGUUCAAGAUGAUGCAGGCGGAAGAGACCCCUAAAACUCCACUACAGAAGAGUAUGGACAAGCUGGGCAAGCAGCUGACAAUCUUCUCUUUUUGCAUCAUCGGUCUCCUGAUGCUGGUUGGCUGGGUGCAAGGGAAACCCCUUCUCAGCAUGUUCACCAUUGGGGUCAGCCUGGCGGUAGCGGCCAUUCCAGAGGGGCUUCCCAUCGUCGUCAUGGUGACGCUGGUCCUGGGGGUGCUGCGGAUGGCUAAGAAGCGGGUCAUCGUGAAGAAGCUGCCCAUCGUGGAGACUCUUGGCUGCUGUAAUGUCAUCUGCUCUGACAAGACGGGCACUCUGACGGCCAAUGAAAUGACAGCGACCCAGCUCUUCACAUCUGACGGGUUCCGAGCUGAGGUCAGUGGAGUCGGGUACAGUGGCGAAGGGACUGUGUGCCUCCUCCCCUCCAAGGAAGUAAUCAAGGGGUUCAGCAACGUGUCGGUGGGGAAGCUGGUGGAGGCAGGCUGUGUCGCCAACAAUGCUGUCAUCAGAAAGAACACUGUAAUGGGACAGCCCACAGAAGGAGCCCUGAUGGUGCUGGCCAUGAAGGUAAGAGGUCAGAAGAGCGCGUCCGUGUCCUCUGCGACUCUCCACUUGUUCCCUUGA
rnacentral:lncRNA from 1 species